rnacentral:rRNA from 1 species
AUGGAAAGCUUGCUGCAUUGGGAUUUUGCUCCGGGCCUAGCCCUCGCAGAUCAGGUGAGUAGGAAAUUUGGGUCCACUGUUCAUUUCUCCCCUUCUCGAGACGCCAAAGAGCUCUUUUUGGUCGUUUCUUUCUCUUUGGCCUCCUUCCCUCUCUCUGUUGAAACAGUGGGGAUUGCGUUGCAAUGUUGUCUUGGAGGGAUUUCUUCUAGCUACAGGGUGUCUCAGAUCAAUGCCCGUCUUUUCGCUUCUCGGUGGCUAAUAACAAAGUGGGACAUUUUGUUUAUGGACUCAAAGACCUAUUUGGCCUGA